GUGGGGAAUCUUCCGCAAUGGACGAAAGUCUGACGGAGCAACGCCGCGUGAGUGAUGAAGGUCUUCGGAUUGUAAAGCUCUGUUAAUCGGGACGAAAGAGCCUAGUGUGAAUAAUGCUAGGAAGUGACGGUACCGGAAUAGAAAGCCACGGCUAACUACGUGCCAGCAGCCGCGGUAAUACGUAGGUGGCAAGCGUUGUCCGGAAUUAUUGGGCGUAAAGCGCGCGCAGGCGGAUCUGCCAGUCUGUCUUAAAAGUUCGGGGCUUAACCCCGUGAUGAGAUGGAAACUACAGAUCUAGAGUAUCGGAGAGGAAAGUGGAAUUCCUAGUGUAGCGGUGAAAUGCGUAGAUAUUAGGAAGAACACCAGUGGCGAAGGCGACUUUCUGGACGAAAACUGACGCUGAGGCGCGAAAGCCAGGGGAGCGAACGGGAUUAGAAACCCUGGUAGUCC
rnacentral:rRNA from 1 species